UAGGGAAUCUUCCGCAAUGGGCGAAAGCCUGACGGAGCAACGCCGCGUGAGUGAUGAAGGUCUUCGGAUCGUAAAACUCUGUUAUUAGGGAAGAACAAAUGUGUAAGUAACUAUGCACGUCUUGACGGUACCUAAUCAGAAAGCCACGGCUAACUACGUGCCAGCAGCCGCGGUAAUACGUAGGUGGCAAGCGUUAUCCGGAAUUAUUGGGCGUAAAGCGCGCGUAGGCGGUUUUUUAAGUCUGAUGUGAAAGCCCACGGCUCAACCGUGGAGGGUCAUUGGCAACUGGAAACCUUGAGUGCAGAAGAGGACAGUGGAAUUCCAUGUGUAGAGGUGAAAUGCGCAGAGAUAUGGAGGAACACCAGUGGCGAAGUCGACUUUCUGGUCUGUAACUGACGCUAAUGUGCGAAAGCGUGGGGAUCAAACAGU
rnacentral:rRNA from 1 species